AGUGCGGUUCUUGCGCUGUCCGGUGCGCUCGCGUCGGCCCUUGAAAAUCCGAGUGAGGGAGUGUGAUUUUCGUGCCGGACCGUACCCACAUCCGCAGCAGGUCUCCAAGGUGAACAGCCUCUAGUCGAUGGACCAAUGUAGGUAAGGGAAGUCGGCAAAACGGAUCCGUAACCUUGGGAUAAGGAUUGGCUCUGAGGACUGAGCCGGUCGGGCUGGGGACCUGAAGCAGGAACGGCACUGCACCGGGACUGGGCGGGGCUCGCCGUUGACGCGGCGCGGCCAAGCCCGGACCAGCGUCGGGACCUUCCUGUGGAAAGCCUCAGCUGCGCGGCGUCCGAGGGCUUCGUGCCCAAAGUGCUAUGCUUCGGCCGGCAAAAAACAGUCAACUCAGAACUGGCACGGACCGGGGGAAUCCGACUGUCUAAUUAAAACAAAGCAUUGCGAUGGCCGCUGGUCGGUGUUGACGCAAUGUGAUUUCUGCCCAGUGCUCUGAAUGUCAACGUGAAGAGAUUCAUCAAAGCGCGGGUAAACGGCGGGAGUAAGUAUGACUCUCUAGAAAAGUAAGCGAGAUUUCCAGUAUUCCGCUUGAAAGCGCUGCCCGUCGCAAAUGCAGUAGGGUAAAUUGUUCGGCUCACGCCCAGUUGAAAGCGCCAGAAAGCCCGUGUCGCAAAGCGACACGGGUAACCGCUAGAAAACACGCACAUUUUAAAGUCGCGUGAUUUGCACUUGAUUCCUCGGAAGUACUUUGUGGGAGACGAAGCGGGCGUUCCAUGCCAAGGACACGGAAGAGAGAGAUUAGAAAUAGAGCGAACAAUUCGCGUGAAAAGAAUAAUAUUUGUCUCCUAUCAAACUUGCCAGAAAAGUAAGCGAGAUUUCCAGUAUUCCGUUUGAAAGCGCUGCCCGUCGCAAGUGCAGUAGGGUAAAUUGUUCGGCUCGCGCCCAGUUGAAAGCGCCAGAAAGCCCGUGUCGCAAAGCGACACGGGUAACCGCUAGAAAACACUCACAUUUUAAAGUCGCGUGAUUUGCACUUGAUUCCUCGGAAGUACUUUGUGGGAGACGAAGCGGGCGUUCCAUGCCAAGGACACGGAAGAGAGAGAUUAGAAAUAGAGCGAACAAUUCGCGUGAAAAGAAUAAUAUUUGUCUCCUAUCAAACUUGCCAGAAAAGUAAGCGAGAU
rnacentral:ncRNA from 1 species